rnacentral:rRNA from 1 species
GAGUAAUGUCUGGGAAACUGCCUGAUGGAGGGGGAUAACUACUGGAAACGGUAGCUAAUACCGCAUAACGUCGCAAGACCAAAGAGGGGGACCUUCGGGCCUCUUGCCAUCAGAUGUGCCCAGAUGGGAUUAGCUAGUAGGUGGGGUAAUGGCUCACCUAGGCGACGAUCCCUAGCUGGUCUGAGAGGAUGACCAGCCACACUGGAACUGAGACACGGUCCAGACUCCUACGGGAGGCAGCAGUGGGGAAUAUUGCACAAUGGGCGCAAGCCUGAUGCAGCCAUGCCGCGUGUGUGAAGAAGGCCUUCGGGUUGUAAAGCACUUUCAGCGAGGAGGAAGGUGGUGAACUUAAUACGUUCAUCAAUUGACGUUACUCGCAGAAGAAGCACCGGCUAACUCCGUGCCAGCAGCCGCGGUAAUACGGAGGGUGCAAGCGUUAAUCGGAAUUACUGGGCGUAAAGCGCACGCAGGCGGUUUGUUAAGUCAGAUGUGAAAUCCCCGGGCUCAACCUGGGAACUGCAUUUGAAACUGGCAAGCUAGAGUCUCGUAGAGGGGGGUAGAAUUCCAGGUGUAGCGGUGAAAUGCGUAGAGAUCUGGAGGAAUACCGGUGGC